AGGUUCAUGCUGUUUAAGGAUCCCUGAGCUGGCCAUGCACAGAUUAAAAGUCAGCCAUGCGGUAACACAGCGGGCCGUGAGAGCAGGGCAAAGUAUGGAUCGUGGUGUCAGGUUCCAGGUGCUGAAGUUCUGUACUUUCUGGGCUCCACCAUGUUGGACCACACAUUUGUGCACACUGUGACAGAAGCAGUGCAUAUUCACAUAUUCAGUGACAUUGGAGGAUUUUUAACAGAUGAAACUUGCACUUCAGUUUUGCUUGCACAAAAGGAAAGUGGAAGCAUUACAUAUUGUAGCUUUUUCCCCCACACUUUAAUAGUUACAAAACACAUAUAAAAAAAGACGUCAGGAACAAUAUAGAGCAGUCAUAUAAAAAAUGUACAGCUCCCACUGUGUACUGUCCACAUUAAACUGAAUUGCAUCAUAUGGCUUUUAAUAAAGACAUCAAUUGGUUGGUAUUAUUCAAUCUCUGCCACUAGUAAGCACAUCAGACAGGGGGGAGACCUAAGAUAAUAUUCCAAUGCCAAUCUGUAGUUUUACAAAGGUAACAACAAUUGUUCUUUUUUCUUUAUUCUCAUUAAAUAGUGUUUUGUAUUACUAUAGAUUUGCUCCUUUCAACUGUUCAGUAUAUCUGUAAUGAUUGGAAGGUCUCUCUGCCACUUGAUGGCUAAUAGGUUUAAUAUAGACUUGCAUAAUUUGUCCCAUGUAGCAUAGUAACAUAGUAACAUAUUAGAUGAGGUUUAAAAAAGACCGAAGUCCAUCAAGUUCCAGUUGAUCUUAAAUUAAUCCCACUAAAAGGUGACCCAUUUAAUACAAGCAAUCAUAUCCAUGAAUUUUGUUUCUAGCCAGAAAUGUAUUCAAACAAUUUUUAAAUGUAUCUAGGGUAUUGGCAUUUACUACCUCCUUUGGUAAUGAGUUCCACGAUUUUAUUGCUCUUACAGUGAAAAAACGUUUUCGUUGCAGUAGAUUAAAUCUCCUUUCCUCCAACCUUAAAUUGUGACCUCUUGUCACAAUCAAUUUUCUUGGAAUAAACAGAGCUUCUGCCA